rnacentral:rRNA from 1 species
AUCGGACUCAACGCCGGAAAUCUCACCGGAUAAGACAGCUGUAUGAUAGUCGGGCUGAAGACUCUACUUGACUGCUGAGAGGAGGUGCAUGGCCGUCGUCAGUUCGUACUGUGAAGCAUCCUGUUAAGUCAGGCAACGAGCGAGACCCACGCCAACAGUUGCCAGCUCGUCCUCCGGGAUGGUGGGGACACUGUUGGGACCGCCUCUGCUAAAGAGGAGGAAGGAAUGGGCAACGGUAGGUCAGCAUGCCCCAAUUAUCCGGGCUACACGCGGGCUACAAUGGGUGGGACAAUGGG